rnacentral:miRNA from 8 species
AUUCUCAAUGUACAAGGUAUUAAG